CAUGACAGAGCCAUGUUGCCCUGCAGUCCUUGCCUGGUUUCACACUGAUGCUAAACAGGAUUGAGCCUGGUUAGUACCUGGAUGGGAGACCUCCUGGGAAAGUGGUAUUAGUUAGGC
rnacentral:rRNA from 1 species